AUUCGGCGUGUUUCUACAGAGAAUCGUUUAACGGUAUUAGACGCGCAUAAUUCCGGAAAACUUCCCUGACGAAACAGACGCGAUGUGGUUUAUUGGUAAACCGCAUCGCGCAAAAUACGGUUUCUCAUAACCACCUCCAGAAGGUGGUUGCCGUGUUCCGCGACGCAGAAUGUGAGUUAAUCUGAUUAUUCGCUCUGUGGAAACGGGUUGGUAUAAGGGCGAUACGAUUUUUAGAUUCCGGAAAGAAGUUCAGUCGUUUUUUAACGAUUAUCUGUAGAAACACGCCGAAAGACUUUGACUUGUAUUUUCAGUGCAUUAGUUACGUUGUAGGAUUCAUUCCGCGUCGCCAUGGUCGCUGAGCAAAAUACUCCUUAUUGAUUAUAGUUGGUGCAAAUGGGUUUUCAACUAGUCGGCUUCACUCACUCAUGCUUAGUCAACCAGGAAUAUGAUCCCAAUAAAUUUGGUAUUAAAAGAAACAGGAAAAGGUACCCUAUCUAAACUCGCAAAAAUUACAAAAGCCAUCUCUCUUUUUAAACAAAGGGAAAUUAUAAAGGUGUAAAGCUUUUUUUCUGACUCGCAUUGUAAUAUCGUUGCUGAAUCUUGUUAUAUCGAAGGGCCAGGAUGUGGGUUAUCCUAUAUUUUUUUAUGAAUAACAUAAGACACAUGCGUUCAUGAUUCUGGACAUCCUGUUAACCUCUUUUUUCAUGCACGUAGUUGGAGUUGGCAAAUGGAUUGAAAUAUAUUGAAGAUGGAUGUAGAUGUUCUGGAAGGCAGACAUACAAUCACACUUUUUAUCUCCAGUACAAAUCGUUAAAAAAAAAUUAUUACAAUAAAUACAUCAUAAAUCGAAAUGGAGCACUG